AGAAGCUGUUUGUAUUCACAUGGGAAAGACAGCAAUAUAUAUUCACUGUCUUGCCUCGGGGCUAUGUUGAUUCUUUUCUGUUACAUUAUAGUCUAAAGGGCCUUUGAUUAUCUUGACAUUCCAGAUCCACCAUACUGGUCCCCUCUACUGAUGGCAUCAUUUCCCUCAAGCCCAGGGAACAAGAAGUGACAAGGACUUGGAUGCCCUCGUAGGAGAUAUGUACAUCAAGACACAGGAAAUAAACCCAGCAAAGAUUCAGGAGCCGGCACACCAGUGACACGCUUAGAGGUCUUGCCCACUGAGUUCCCAACCAUGGAGGAAGAAGUAUUGUGCUUGUGCAGGUUCCCAGACCAUGGCACGGAACCAUCCACACUGGUGGAUCUGACGCUGGCUGGUUGUCUGCCAAGGAGACCCUCAAUUCUGAGUGGCCCAUGGUCACUGGCCCUGGGAAUUUCUUCAGCAUGGCUGCUGACUACAUCAAGCAAGAACCUGUUCCUAAGACAGAGCUUAUAUGAUACAUAGUGAUCAUGAAGUAUGGAGGGACACUGUCACCUUUCCAGGUUUACUAAUGAGUGACAGGUUCUGCUAACAUAUAUGGGAGGGGAUAGUACAGGGGUAUGAAUACCAGGGGCCUGGGUUGCUGAGUGACCCUCAAGCCUUUACAUCAUAUCUGACAAGGUUAGCAGUGAGUGCUCUCAGUACCAGGUACUCACGGUCCCUGCGUUUUGUGAACUUUCUCACCUGACCCACAGAAUAACCCAAGAAGAGCAGUAACUGCCCUCACUGUACCAAUGGAGGAAUGUGAGGUCAAGGAUCCUGGUAGGGGUUCAACAGGGGAAGGCAGGAGCACUGUGGAAUUGGUCAUAGACACCAUGUGAUCCAACACCCAGGGUUGCCAGUGAAGACAAACCUCAGAAGACUCUCAGGACAUGCCCUGGCCCUGGUGAGCCACUAACCCCUGCCACCCUAAAUAACCCACUUGGGACUUGUCUUCCUCUGGCAGCUUCUGUCUGUACCCUGUGCCCACAGGAAGGCCACCUUCACAUACUCUGAAUGUUCACACGCCCUUCAUGUGGGUGCAUGUAAACUGCAGUGAGGACCAC
rnacentral:lncRNA from 1 species